rnacentral:lncRNA from 1 species
GCAGACAUUUCAGUUGGUAGUUCCUUUGGUAUUUGAUAAGUGAAACUUAUCCCAGAACUAUUUAUCUGUAGAUCUCAGUUCCAGUUAGAGUGUAUUCCUGGAGCCUUUAAAUCAUGUAGUGUGAUAUGCCAGUUCGUAAGCAACAGGUGAACUGCACUGGCUUCCUCCAAGUUCAACAGCUGAGAAUGUGGCCCUAAAAACUGCCUAGAUAUAUAUCCUUCCUAGUAAGGAUUGAAGGUUACUCAUAUUUAAGCCUCUAUUCCUCACAUCCUAACCCCCAACCACCUUUGAAUGGGGAGGAGAGAUUUUGGUCUUUUCCAGUCAUUGUCCUUGUAAAAGAUUUUAGUUUAAUAGUUUACAGAAAGUUUUCUUUUCAUAUUUCAGUAAAUUCCUGUGAAAGUUUUUCUCAUCCUUGUUAAUUUUGUUUUUCCAGUAUGAAAACCUUACCAUUUUUUGUUUUCUAUAGCUUUACUGAGAUAUAAUUUGAUAUUUUAUAAAUUGUACUUGUGUGACACUGUAUCUACUCUGGCCAUACAUAUAUAUCCCUGAAACCAUCACCACAGUCAACAUAGUGAGCAUAUCCGUCAUUCCCAAGAGUUUACUCAUGCCUGUUUUUGAAUGGUCCUUCCCUGUCCUAGCUCUUAUCUUACCUCCUGUCUCCAGAUAACCACAGAUUUACUUCCUGUCACUAUCAUAUAUUUUGCACUUCCUACACAUUCAUAUAAAUGGAAUUACACAUUAUAUAUUCUUUUCUCACCUGGAUUAUUUCAUUAAGCAUAAUUAUUUUGAGGUUUAUCCAUGUUAGUGCAUGUAUCAAUUGUUCAUUCCUUUUUAUUGCCCAUUUAGUAGCCCAUUACUUGAAUUUACUACAAUUUGUUUAUCCAUUCACAAAUUUAUGAACAUUUGGGUCAUAUCUAGUUUUGACAUUUAUAAACAAAACUGUGA